CACGCCCUGCGGUGUUCGAGGUGCUGAUAAAACGCUCAUCGCCUACUUUACCUUUACGGGAGUCUCGAAGGGUGGCUGAUGCUAAGCCGUAAACCGGAAAGCAGAGGUUGUCUGACGGUCGCCCACCUGAAUAUAAACAGGACCAUGAGCCCCUUCGGCAUACGGCACAAUGGUGGGGCGUGC
rnacentral:other from 1 species